GCGACCCCAGGUCAGGCGGGACUACCCGCUGAAUUUAAGCAUAUCAAUAAGCGGAGGA
rnacentral:rRNA from 1 species